rnacentral:tRNA from 1 species
GGAAACAUGCCUGAAUGCAAAAGGACCACUUUGAUAGAGUGGCUAAUGAGGGUUAGACUCCCUUUGUUUCCU